AACUUCUCAGUAGCCUUCAUUUGGGAGAUGGAGUGUUCUGUAGCUAGAAAUCCUAUUGCUAGCUGGAAUCUGUCUACAAGGUCUGGAUCACAUCCUGUAGGUAUGACAAGCUUGACUUGAAGUUAACUGAAAGUGAAGCAGUCACCAUUUUAAGCUAAUGAGAUAUGUUUGUGGGUAAUAAGCAAAUAAUGAACAUCCAGAUCAAUCUACUUCUGUGUAUAGAAUCUUCAAGGGAGCAUUAAGAAAAAGACUUCUAAACAAAUGUAAGAUAAUAGUAAUUUAAAAUUUGAGAAAACUCCACAAGGAAAGUCAAGGUUCCUAUGUCCAAACCCUUAGUGGAACAUUACAUCAGAUCUGUUUCUCCACAGUCACACUGCUUUCCUGAAGAAUACUGACAAGUUUAGCAAGAAAUGGGAGAAAAUGAUGGGUAUCAAUACUUAGAAAUGAUUAUAUUAUUAUGAUAUAUACACUGAUGCAGGAAUCACUGUUGUUAACAAUGAGGUCAAACAAGGAAUGCGAGUGGUGGUGGUAGGGAGAAAACAGAAGCAGAACUUGAUAUAGAUGGGAGGCAGAGCAAGAUCUCAGACCAGCUGUUGUCCUAACUAAAAAGCCUUUACAAGUAUUCCUGAGCAUUAUUUUCAUUAAUUCAUGCUCCCUCCACUGCCUUUAAAUAAACGAAUGACUCCCAUCCUCUCAUUAAUCCAUGAAGAAGCUUUGAUCCAGUUUUUACAAGUGCAGUUCUUUGUAGAAGAAAAGAGAAACGUUCUCUUCCUUCCCCACCCCUUCCUCCCCUCCUGUCUUCUUCCCAGAGGAACUUUUUGGCUCUACUGUUAGCCAGAAAUAGAAUGAAGCCUGCUGACUGCAAGCUUCUGUUGGACAAAUAAUAUAGCUUGCUUUAAACAUAUCGGUACCCACAGUUGAGCCAGGCAAACAGAUGGAAAAAGUUUGAAAUAAAGCUGUGUAAGCUCCAAUGAGGCAAG
ensembl:lncRNA